rnacentral:rRNA from 1 species
AACAAAAACAUGUCCUUUUGAAUUUAAUUUAAGGUCUAACCUGCCCAAUGAAAAAUUUAAAUGGCCGCAGUAUUUUGACUGUGCAAAGGUAGCAUAAUCAUUAGUUUUUUAAUUGAAAGCUUGUAUGAAGGGUUGGACGAGAUAAAAACUGUCUUAAAUUAAUUUAUUUUAGAAUUUAAUUUUUAAGUUAAAAAGCUUAAAUUUAAUUAAAAGACGAGAAGACCCUAUAGAUCUUUAUAAUUUUUAUUUUAAUUAAAUUUUAGAAUUAAUUAUUAUUUAAUUUAAAAAUUAUUAUAUUGGGGUAAUAUAAAGAUUUAAGUAAUUCUUUAUUUAUUUAUACAUUAAUAUAUGAAUAUUUGAUCCAAUAUUAUUGAUUAUAAGAUUAAGUUACCUUAGGGAUAACAGCGUAAUUUUUUUAAAGAGUUCAUAUCGAUAAAAAAGUUUGCGACCUCGAUGUUG